GUUUGGCAAAGUUAAACAGGUCCCGUUUUUGCCUGGAGUUUGCAGUUGUCUUUCAGUUCUUUAUUGUUUCAGAAGGAUGUUCUGUUUCAGAUGUUUUAAUGAUUUCAUAAUCCCAGCAGAGGAACUAUACUGGACAACAUGCUAUGUGUACUGCUACGUAUACACUGCUACAAUAUGUAUUUCAUUGUAUGAUUUGAAUAUAUACUCAAAGAAUGACUCAGAAAUUUAGACUGUGGUAAAUGUCAGCAAUGUCUAACUUCUUGAGUACAUCUAUUUGCAGACGAGCCUAUGAUGAACAUUCCUCUUCUCAGUGAGGGAGAGAAGGCCGAUCUGACAUGUUCAGCUCCUUUUCCUUGUCCUAAAAAUCCUCCAAAUAUAACAUGGUGGAUCAGGAAAAGAGACGGAAAAAUCAGUGAUUUAAAGGAAAACAUCACUCUGAGCCCCUCCAAAAACCUUUCCCUCUCAACUUUGACUCUAACUCCAACCUGUGACGAUCACAAUGCCACUAUAGGAUGUGACGUGAGCUACGGAAGCAAAAUCAUCAGUACAAAUAGGACCCUCGAAGUCACGUAUAUAUUCAUGAACCAAGCGUCUGUUGGAUCUGUGACGAUAACCACUGUGACAAAGGAGCAUGCUGGGGUUUACAGCUGUAUGAGGACAUUUCAGAACAAGACCCUGAAUGCAUCCAUCACUUUAAAUAUAAUUUAUAAAGCGGCUAUUCAAGUGCAUGUGGACAUCAAAAUGAUAACAGCAUUUCUGAUGGGAAUGUCAACUUCAGCAGUCAUCUUCUCUGUGGUUUUGUGCAGUCAAGGGUCCUGGAAAAGGGACAAGACAUAUGAAGUGGUGGCCACGAACACAUACACUGAAGUUGUACUGGAAUAUUUUCAAGGAAAAAGUUUAAGGAGAUACUGUAUGAAAGAGUGAGAUUAAUCAUUUGGAUUAAAUGAUUUGAAUUGAUAAUUUAUAGUUUUUUUUUUAUUAUCAUGUUGGAUAUAGAUUUUUCUGAAAUUGUAAAAUAUAAUAUAUUAAGUCACUUCUUCACAAAUUUAGAAACUUAAUUCUGUCUGAGUUUAUCUUUGUUAUUGCUGAAUGAUUUCUCCUUGUUCAGAGAUAUUUUCUUUGACAAAUAAAACAGUGUUAAUUAAUUCAAAGUGUUUAAAUUUCAUUCUUUCAGUGUUUUAGACUUUAGAGGAUGUUAUAGGACCAAAGGGAAUUUUAGACUACUCAGGUUUACAGUACGUAUAUGAUAAAUGCAGAUGAGAAGCUGUGAAGAACAGAAUAUAUUCAUUUAUUUAUUCAUUCAUUCAUUCAUUUAUAUACUUAUAUAUAAUUACUAGUAAUACUUUAGGUACAUUUGGUAUAAGAUUAAGGAUGAAUUUGUGCAUAUUGUGAAUUAAAAUGAAUAAAAUAAACAGAAUUUCCUGACAUUCCAGGAAGCCUUUUAGUAAAAUAAGUCUAUUUUUUUGUGUGUGUGUUCAAAUACAUUAUUCACCAUUUUUCUUUGUUCCUUAUUCACUUAAAUUCCUUAAAAUUAUUUAAUGAAAAGAAAAAAAAAAAACACAUUAUAUUUCCUUUGAUGCCCAUGAGCAGUAUCAUGAGGUGAGUGGGCAGAGCUUCAUUGCAGUUCUUUAUGUAUUUAGGACGAAUGCCGUUUUUAAGGCCCUGUCCCAAUAAUAGAUGUGUAUAUAUGUGGUCACAAUACCCACACUAGUGAUAAUAGCAACUUGAGAGCAUGGACAUUUAACAGGAAGUAAGUGCACCAGACUGUCCCAGGUCUGAACAAUGUUCAGUGCCCUCAACACACUAAAUCCAUACAUGCCCUGAAAUCCCAAGAUUUUAAGGGAAAACUUUAAAGUGUAAAUUAAUUUAAUUAGACAUUACAUAUAUUUUCUGUAAUAAAUAAAGUAUUGAAAAUUUUUUGGUUUUGAUAUGAGUGUGUGUAUUUUAUAAAACAUUUGUAGCUGCUUUUUUUCACUAAAAUAAAAGCACCACAAUUAAACUGUGUCUUAGGAACUACUGAGCAGAAACCUAUUUAUUAUUAUUAUUAUUAUUAUUAUUUUAAGUGCAAAUAAUAAAAUGAACAAAAAUGUGUAAUUAAAACACAGUAAAAACUUUACUUGCAUUUAUAUAAUGCUAUGUUGUAAGUGUGCCCCAUUAGUUAAUCAGAAGUUCUGUGCACUUGUGGUCCUUACACCCACUUGAACCAAAUAAAGGAAAUACAUCAGACAAGUGAUCAGUGCAAAGACUACAACGUGUGGGUAUUGGGACCAGCCCAAAUGCAAUGUGGUGAUCUGUUCACAAACAACUUUGUACUCUAUUCAAGCUUGUAUUAGAGCUGACCACUUGUGACCAGAUCAUGAAAUGCAUAUUAAUACCAGAUGGAAAGGCUUUAAAAGUGAAUCAGCUCCUUCCCCUCUUUUAAAUCAAAAGCCUUAAGUAGACAUUUUUUUUUCUUCUCUUGAUGCUCUCUACAUUUCUGGCCAUAGAUGCUUUCUUUCUUGUAUCCUGCUAUCCUGUUCCACUGUUUACUAUAGUGAUCUUUCAAAUACACAAACCCCCAGCCGCAUGCUGGUGCAAACUUAUUUUUGAAGGCAUUUUAAAGAGGAAGUACAUAAGAGGAAGGGUGCAUUUUGUACAUUGUUACUUGUAUGCUGCUUCUGCAGUUCGGAAAACGAACGCUUCUGAGAACAUUGUGACGGGGUUAACUUGAGAAAACAGUAAGAAGCUUUCUCUUUAACGCCAUACAUAUGUUCUGUAGUAGGUUCUGUAAUAUGUAGUAUGUUUAAAAAUGGUAAAUGCUGAAGUAUAAUGUUGUUUUGUUCUGUGCAGAUUUGUGGAACACAUUUAAAAUGCAUAUCAUCUCUUGCUGUACAAUCCUCUUUAUUUUUGA
rnacentral:lncRNA from 1 species